rnacentral:rRNA from 1 species
UACGUAGGUGACAAGCGUUGUCCGGAUUUACUGGGUGUAAAGGGCGCGUAGGCGGGAUAGCAAGUCAGUCGUGAGAUGCCGAGGCUUAACCUCGGAGCUGCGAUUGAAACUGUUAUUCUUGAGUAUCGGAGAGGAAAGCGGAAUUCCUAGUGUAGCGGUGAAAUGCGUAGAUAUUAGGAGGAACACCAGUGGCGAAGGCGGCUUUCUGGACGACAACUGACGCUGAGGCGCGAAAGUGUGGGGAGCAAACAGG